GCUGAAGCUGCGGCAGAUACUGCAGAAGGUGUGGACAAUACGACUGCACAGACUGCAGAUGCACAGCCAACCGACACAUCAGCUGGGGAGACUGAACCUCCUACAGCAACAAGUGAUGUCCCUCUAUCCCAGUUAUCUGUUGCAGAUCUCCCUGAGGAUGCUCCAGUCAAUGUUACCAUCACAGUCACUGCUACUCCAUAAAUUCUACGGAAGGACUGAAUUUCUAUUCUAGGACAAUUUAGACAACCACCACCAUCACCACUUUUUGAACACUUUUUGGAUUUUUAAAUAUUUCUAUACAAAUGUUUUAAACUCACAAAGGUAUUAUAUUAACAUAUGAACUUCUUGCAAAGCCCAGACUGUGAAGUAGCAAGUUGGUUAAUUAAUAUUAUAUCAGAAACCCAUAAGUAACAAGAGUUAUGCCUACCAGAAGAACAUCGUUAUGGACAGAUUGACUCAUUACUGUUUCAUUGCAAGCUCAUGUCAUGUUUGCAAUUAACCCUUUCCUAUCAUUAUGUAUUUAUUUUUAAUUAUAAUGUUUAAUUAUCCUAAUCCUUCUAGAUCUGUCUGCAACCUUUGAUACUGUUGACCACCCUCUUUUACUCCAAACCCUCCAAUCCUUCGGGAUUUGUGACACAGCCCUCUCGUGGUUCUCUUCCUACCUGUCUAACUGUACCUUUAGUGCAGCCUUCUCUGGUGCAUCCUCUGCCCCUUUACCCCUUUCUGUUGGUCCCCUUCUCUUCUCAAUCUAUACGUCAUCAUUAGGUUCCUUAAUAGAGUCCCAUGGGUUUCAAUAUCAUUUGUAUGCUGGUGACACCAAAAUAUAGCUCUCUGAGUCUGCACCAGACCUAUCUCCUUCCUUGCUAACUCGUGUCACUAUCUUUCUCAUAUCUCAUCCUCGAUGUCCUCUCACUACCUUAAGCUAAAUCUCUCCAAAACUGAGCUCCUUAUUUUCUACCCUUCUUCCAAAAUCUCCACCCCCCAUUUUUCUAUAACUGUUGAUAACUUCAUUAUUACCCCAACUCUGCAUGGCCAAUGUUUUGGGUUCACACUUGACUCUUGAUCUUGAUAUCUUCUUUCACUCCUCACAUUUAGUCUUUGGCCAAUUCCUGCCGCUUCCACCUUAAAAACAUCUCUAAUAUUCGACAUUUCCUUACACAAGACACAACUGAGAUUUUUAACCCACUCUCUCAUCCUUUCCUGCCUUAACUAUUGCAGCUACUACCUCUCUGGUCGCCCUAUCUGCCAUCUAGCUCCUUUACAAUCUAUAGUGAAUACCUUUGCCAGGCUUGUCUUCCUUUCACGUCGAUCUUCAUCUGCUGCACGAAAUUCUGUCUCUGACAUACAAGGCCCUCAACUGCACUGCUCCCCCCUAUAUCUCAGACCUUGUCUCCAGGGAUUCUCCCUCCUGCCCUCUUCACUCUGCUCAAGACCUCCUCCUCUACUCCUCUCUUGUUACCUACUUACAUUCUUGUCUACAGGACUUCUCCAAACUGGACCCUAUCUUGUGGAACUCUCUGCCUUGCUCCACAAGACUCCCCCCCCCCCCCUAAUUUUGAAAGUUUCAAACGCUCCCUAAAGACUCUACUGUUCAGGGAUGCAUACAACCUACACUAACCUUUUCUAACCCCAGUUCCUCUCCUCCUUUGUUUUCCCCUUGAACCCCCUUAGCUUGUAAGCCUAUGAGCCCAGCUGUUUGCAGAUCACUUUCAUAAGAGCUGACUACAACAGUACGUAUCAUACCUCUGUUUAUAGCGCUAUGGAAUCUGUUGGCACUCUACGAAUAACUGAUGAUAACAAUAAUAAUAAUAUCUAAACAUGAUUGCAAUCAUGAACAAACAUUCUGAUGAUUAUAAUUUAUAAUUGUUUUAAUGUAUAUAUUAACGUAUUUAAUUAUAUAAAAGUGUGAUUUCAUUACUGUUUUAACAUUUUAAUAAAAUCAGAAAAUGAUAGUGUUUGCCAAUGACCUGGGGAGUAAAAAUAUGAGAGGAAGAGGGAUAACACGGAGUAAAGAGAAGGACAAUAUAGAUAGCAGUGGUGGAUGAAAAUAAUUCAUAAACUAGAAAAAUUUUAACAAUA